GCCAGGGAACUACGAGCGCAAGCUUAAAACCCAAAGGAUUUGGCGGUGCUUUAGACCCCCCUAGAGGAGCCUGUUAUAGAACCGAUACUCCCCGUUAAACCUCACCCUCUCUUGUUCUCCCCGCCUAUAUACCGCCGUCGUCAGCUUACCUUGUGAGAGACCAGUAGUAAGCAAAAUUGGCAAAGCCCAAAACGUCAGGUCGAGGUGUAGCGUAUGAGAGGGGAAUAAAUGGGCUACAUUUACUGCCUCAGUACAUACGGACGAUGACCUGAAAUUACAUCCGAAGGAGGAUUUAGCAGUAAGGGGGAAAUAGAGUGUCCCCCUGAAGACGGCUCUGAAGCGCGCACACACCGCC
rnacentral:rRNA from 1 species